GGGGAUAACACUUGGAAACAGGUGCUAAUACCGUAUAACACUAUUUUCCGCAUGGAAGAAAGUUGAAAGGCGCUUUUGCGCCACUGAUGGAUGGACCCGCGGUGCAUUAGCUAGUUGGUGAGGUAACGGCUCACCAAGGCCACGAUGCAUAGCCGGCCUGAGAGGGUGAUCGGCCACACUGGGACUGAGACACGGCCCAGACUCCUACGGGAGGCAGCAGUAGGGAAUCUUCGGCAAUGGACGAAAGUCUGACCGAGCAACGCCGCGUGAGUGAAGAAGGUUUUCGGAUCGUAAAACUCUGUUGUUAGAGAAGAACAAGGAUGAGAGUAAAACGUUCAUCCCUUGACGGUAUCUAACCAGAAAGCCACGGCUAACUACGUGCCAGCAGCCGCGGUAAUACGUAGGUGGCAAGCGUUGUCCGGAUUUAUUGGGCGUAAAGCGAGCGCAGGCGGUUUCUUAAGUCUGAUGUGAAAGCCCCCGGCUCAACCGGGGAGGGUCAUUGGAAACUGGGAGACUUGAGUGCAGAAGAGGAGAGUGGAAUUCCAUGUGUAGCGGUGAAAUGCGUAGAUAUAUGGAGGAACACCAGUGGCGAAGGCGGCUCUCUGGUCUGUAACUGACGCUGAGGCUCGAAAGCGUGGGGAGCGAACAGGAUUAGAUACCCU
rnacentral:rRNA from 1 species